AUGAAGAAAGGCAGCCUACAGCAAGGGGUGACUCCUUACCCAGGCUCCGGGUCCUAACUUGAAUCCUCUGCUGCUGCCUAUCAACCAAUGUUCCUCAAGCAGGCUGCUUCAUGCCUCAUGGUUCAUUUUCCUUAUGAUAUUUCAUAAGGAAAUUCAUUUCAUAAGGAAAUGCAUUUCCUUAUGAAAUGCAUUUGUGCAAUCAGAAGAAAGAUAGCCAUUCUUCUAGGGCCAAUUAAUUCAAUAAAUGAAAAUAAUUGUUUCUUGUUAUACAUAGAAGAUUUGUUCUAGACUGUCCGGUGGAUUUUUCUCAAGUUCCUUAUAUAAAAUGGUGUAGUAGUUAUAUAUAACCCACACAUGUCUCACCAUGUAUAUUAAGUCAUCUCUGGAUAACUUACAGUACCAAAUAGAACAUUAACACUUAUUACAUUGUUUAGGGGUUAUUGACAAGAAAAAGUCUGUACAUGGUCAGGACAAAGUGAGAUUUUUUUUUUCCUUCCAGAAUGUUCAGUCUGCAGUUGGUUGGAUCCAAUAUGUGGUGCCUGUGGUGUAUGGAGACUGACUGCAUCCUUCUUGCACCAGGCAGUCUAGCCAUUGUAGAUACAGCAGUGAACAAAACACAUAAACGCUUCUUCUAGGAAGCAGGUUUCCAGAGGAAGUUGUGGCUCAUAUUAAAGGCAUGUCUUCCUGCUUCAAGAUCCAGAUGAAAGGCAUGCAUCUUCCCGCAUCAAGAUCCAGAUUAAAGAGGGAGGCUGACAGCAUUGCAAAAGACUGAGAUGGGGAUAGCAUUCCAUACAAACAUGAUUGGUUCGGAUGGACGGUGAUACAUUUUCGGCACAUUCAUCAAUAUGAUCAUGAUUGAGGCAUCAGUGACAUGUCAGCUGAGAGCCAGUCCGUUGGUAUUUUACAGAGGCCAUCGUGCCACUGAUGAUGACAGGUGUUUUUUUUUUUUUUUUUUUUUGUAACAAAGACAGUGAAAACCAAAGGAGAAAUAUUCAAAGUAGGAUGAAAGGAAUUAGUGUCAGAAAGACCCUGCAGGGUCCGGAAAAGAGUUGUCAAAUUCUCCACUGUAGGACACAUUAGUAACUAGCUUCAUCUCUUGUAGCUUCCUUCCCCGUUGUCUUACCCAGGGGCUUCCCCAGCCUCUGCAGAAACCAAUAGACGGAGCUACAUGUCCCAAUGCCAAAAGCUGAAUUCAUCCAGACACAAACUGGAUGGUUAGAACACUUCUUGUCUAGUUCUGGGUGCUUGACACCUGAAAUCAAGGUGUCCUUCUGAAGGCUUUGGAAAAUUUUUUCUUCCUGUGUGCCCAAGUCCCAGGUGUUCCAGAACUGUCCUUACCAUUCUACACUGUGAUGGCUGCUCUCCAAUGCCUACCUGACUACACCCGGAAUUCACUAAAAAUCCAAGUUGCUGGGCGCACCUGUGAGGGAUGUUUAGUUAACUGGAUCAUUGAGGUCAGAAGAACCAUUAUAAAACUGGGUCACUCUGCCUCAUGGCAGCCUUUAUAAAGGGCACAGGGAAAGAAGCUCUUGUUCUCUGUCUACUUGCCCUUGGUCUUGAUUCACUAGGAUCAGGGCCUACCUCUUCAGGAUUCUGAUGUACACUGAAGACCAGCUGAGACCCCCAGCCUCAUGGACCAAACAACUAACUACUGGAUGAUUGGAUUUUGCACUAGGAGACAGCCAUUGUUGGACUAGCUGGACCACAGCCUGUAAGCCACUCUAACCGUCUCUGUUCCUCUAGAGAACCCUGCCUAAUACACACAUCUUAACUCUGAUCUCUGCCCCCAUGACCUUUGAGUACACCCGUGCUUUCUCUUCUCCUUCUAUGGACAAGUCAUUAGAUGUCAGCCUAAUCAAGUAGGGCCUCUUCUGAACUGGUGAUGUUCACCAAGACCUUACAGCCAAAGGAGGUCACAUUCUGGGCUCCCGAUGGAUAUACAAUGUGAGAUGUCACCAUUGACCCACUGUAUAGUAUAUUGUAAUACUGUGGAGUCCAAGUAUAUAUACUUUCCCAUCCUCCACUAGAUAACGUGGCCCCUGAGGUAGGACUAGACAAUGCUUUAUUGUCCUUCUGCUGUCUACUUCAGUAUCUGGCACAGAGAACUAUGAAAUAUCCCUGAAAGACUGAUGAUCUGGAAACAUGGUUCUUUCUUUACCAAUUAAAUUCCCUCUAAAUUGAUUCCUUUGAUCUCUUCCAAUGUCAACUAUAUAUACAUACAUACAUACAUACAAUAGUUUAUCAUGAAAUAUAUUCUUCAAGGCUUUACCCAGAGUGUCUUUACUCAUGAUUUCCUAAAUCUUAAGUACUGCAUAAAGCCACUGACAUUUAACACAGAUUUUCAAAGUACUAUGAGCUUAAGUCUAAGUGUGAGCAUCAGGAAAGAGCCUGUUAACUGGCAGAGCCAUCUGGCCACGUGUGAGACUACGGAACUUAACAGGAUCUUUCAGGGAGAAGAUAAAUUAAUCUCAGAGGAUCUUGCUUCAUCCUCUCAGAGACCAGAGAUUAAAAGCCCAGAUGGUGCUGGGUGUGUAGUCAGACUCAGAACUUUGGAGGAGGAGGCAGGAAGAUGGUAAGUUCAAGGCCAGCCUGUGCUUAGUAGCAAGACCAUAGUCCAAGACAAAACAAGACAGCCCAGAUGACUGUGGUUCUCUGAGGGACCAGGUGUCUCAACUCUCUUCAGAUUGCUGCCAUUACAAGAUGUAUUCCCUUCCCAAAGCAGAUCUCUCAGCCCUUGGUUAUGCAAGAGAACCAUCUCAGAUGGAGCACAGGUGAAAGGAAGGAUUCUCCUGGGCGGGUGAGCAACAUUUUUAGUGUCCAUGGCUAAGAAAGAGCUGCUCUAGAUAGUCCAGAAGAGUAGAGAACUUCCUUUUUCUGUCUUUGAAAAUAAAAUCACAGUCUGAAGGUCAAUUGGAAGAAGAAAUUUAGUAGAUAACAAAAACAAAACAAAAUAAAAACAAAACCAAACCAACCAAACAAACAAAAAGAAGCCAUGUGUGGUGGCACACGCCUUUAACCCCAGCACUGGAAGGAAUUUUAUUUGAAAGAAAAAGAUUACAUGAACAUAUUAAAAGGACCUACAGAGCCUUGCCAGGAGAGAGAGAGAGAGGAGAGAGAGAGAGAGAGAGAGAGAGAGAGAGAGAGAGAGAGAGAGAGAGAGAGAAUGAAUUAGGAGCUGCAUAAGAGGUGCAGGACAGACUUAGGAAAAACAUCUUCAGGAGAAGUUGAAUAACAUGUAAUAGACCCCACAGUGUGUGUGUGUGUGUGUGUGUGUGUGUGUGUGUGUGUGUGUGUGUGUGUGUGUGUGUGUGCGUGCGCGUGCGCGCGCACGUGCAUUUAUUUGGUUACACUUUGGUGCGUUUUCUUUUCUUUUGGGGUAGUAUUUUAUUUUGUUUUCUUGGUUUUGGGGAAUUUUUUUAUUUGGAGUUUUGAUUGUUUUUUGAGAAAGAACUUAAAUUUGGGUGGAUAGGGAGGGGGAGAGGGUCUGGGAGGACUUCAGGGGAGAAUAUGACAAAAAUAUAUUUAAUGUUAAAAUUGUCUUAAAUAAUAAAAAUGCAAUAUAAAGGGAAAAAUCAUGCAGAAAAGGUAGGAUUUAUCUCUUUAAGAAUAUUUCAGAUAAGUAAAUAUACAUAUGCUAAGCUGCUCUUUGCGAUAAAAUUACCCCAGCAUGCAAUUAAAUGAAGUGCGAGUAAAAUAAGUAUUUUCCUUCGUUCGGUGCACUUUUUACUUUCCUGGUGGUGUUAAUUUUAGCACAAACAUUUUGCUGGUAUUUAAUUUACCAUUUUCUCCUUCAACUAUAGUGUCUUAUAAAACAAAUCACAAAGCCACACAGAUUUACUGUUGUUUUCUACUGAGUAUUUAGUCUUCAUCCUUUUAUAUUUAGAAUCAUUACCAUUUUGGAGUAAACUUUUGUAUAUGGUAUGUGAUUCCUGAGUUGUCCUAUCAUUAUUUCUUGAAAAGAUUAUCCUUUUCCCUUCAAACUGUCAUGACAUCCUUGUCAGAAAUCAAUUGGCCAUAAUAUUAAAGCUUAUUUAUGAAGGCUUAA